CGGACGGGUGAGUAACGCGUGGGUAACCUGCCUUGUACUGGGGGACAACAGUUGGAAACGACUGCUAAUACCGCAUAAGCGCACAGCUUCGCAUGAAGCAGUGCGAAAAACUCCGGUGGUAUGAGAUGGACCCGCGUCUGAUUAGCUAGUUGGUAAGGUAACGGCUUACCAAGGCGACGAUCAGUAGCCGACCUGAGAGGGUGACCGGCCACAUUGGGACUGAGACACGGCCCAA
rnacentral:rRNA from 1 species